GAUGAAGAACGUAGUGAAAUGCGAUAAGUAGUGUGAAUUGCAGAAUUCAGUGAAUCAUCGAAUCUUUGAACGCACAUUGCGCCCCUUGGUAUUCCAUGGGGCAUGCCUGUUCGAGCGUCAUUUGUACCUUCAAGCUCUGCUUGGUGUUGGGUGUUUUGUCUCGCCUCUGCGUGUAGACUCGCCUUAAAACAAUUGGCAGCCGGCGUAUUGAUUUCGGAGCGCAGUACAUCUCGCGCUUUGCACUCAUAACGGCGACGUCCAAAAGUACAUUUUUACACUCUUGACCUCGGAUCAGGUAGGGAUACCCGCUGAACUUAAGCAUAUCAAUAAGCGGAGGA
rnacentral:misc_RNA from 1 species